rnacentral:rRNA from 1 species
AUUGAACGCUGGCGGCAUGCCUUACACAUGCAAGUCGAACGGCAGCACGGGGCAACCUGGUGGCGAGUGGCGAACGGGUGAGUAAUGCAUCGGAACGUGCCAUUGAGUGGGGGAUAACGUAGCGAAAGUUGCGCUAAUACCGCAUAUUCUGUGAGCAGGAAAGCAGGGGACCGCAAGGCCUUGCGCUCUUUGAGCGGCCGAUGUCAGAUUAGCUAGUUGGUGAGGUAACGGCUUACCAAGGCGACGAUCUGUAGCGGGUCUGAGAGGAUGAUCCGCCACACUGGAACUGAGACACGGUCCAGACUCCUACGGAGGCAGCAGUGGGGAAUUUUGGACAAUGGGCGCAAGCCUGAUCCAGCCAUGCCGCGUGAGUGAAGAAGGCCUGG